rnacentral:misc_RNA from 1 species
AAACAAGGGUAUCUUAAAAUAAUUCGCGAAAAACAUUCUAGUGAAAAUGGCAACAUUGAACGGGAAAAAAUCUGUACAAUAUUGGGAUAAAUAAGCUAGAAGUGUGUUAUCAGAUUAGAACUUUUUAUCAACAUUCUCUAUAACUGUAUCUACUUAGUGGUGUCCACGUCUGAGGACUGAAAAGAAUCCUCCGGAUGGCUUCUCCUUGCGGCGAUCAUCUUCUUCAUCUGCAACCUCUUUUGCUACUUGCUGCAAUGUCUCUAUUAUCUCAGGAAAAUCAGGCCUUGAUGUUGGAUCUCGUUGCCAGCAUUUCUCCAGUAACUCGGCAAUUUUUGGAUGAGUAUGUUUGGGAAUAGCAGGUCGCAACCCCUUCUGGACAACUCCAAUGGCAGCUUGUAGUGGGGUCAAGUACUCAUAUGGAAGCUUUCCG